rnacentral:rRNA from 1 species
GGACCCGCACAAGCGGUGGAUGAUGUGGAUUAAUUCNAUGCAACGCGAAAAACCUUACCUACCCUUGACAUGGCUGGAAUCCUUGAGAGAUCAGGGAGUGCUCGAAAGAGAACCAGUACACAGGUGCUGCAUGGCUGUCGUCAGCUCGUGUCGUGAGAUGUUGGGUUAAGUCCCGCAACGAGCGCAACCCUUGUCAUUAGUUGCUACGAAAGAGCACUCUAAUGAGACUGCCGGUGACAAACCGGAGGAAGGUGGGGAUGACGUCAAGUCCUCAUGGCCCUUAUGGGUAGGGCUUCACACGUCAUACAAUGGUACAUACAGAGCGCCGCCAACCCGCGAGGGGGGGCUAAUCGCAGAAAGUGUAUCGUAGUCCGGAUUGUAGUCUGCAACUCGACUGCAUGAAGUUGGAAUCGCUAGUAAUCGCGGAUCAGCAUGUCGCGGUGAAUACGUUCCCGGGUCUUGUACACACCGCCCGUCACACCAUGGGAGCGGGUUUUACCAGAAGUAGGUAGCUUAACCGUAAGGAGGGCGCUUACCACGGUAGGAUUCGUGACUGGGGUGAAGUCGUAACAAGGUAACCGUAAGGGC